UACAGAGGCCUCGAGCGUUAGGCGGAAUCACUGGGCUUAAAGCGUGUGUAGGCGGACUUCUAAGUACCUUGUGAAAUCCCACGGCUCACCCGUGGAACUGCUUGGUAUACUGGUUGUCUUGAGCCUUCUAGGGGCGAGUGGAACAAAUGGUGGAGCGGUGAAAUGCGUAGAUAUCGGAAAGAACACCAACGGCGAAAGCACUCUGCUGGGCCGACACUGACACUGAGAGACGAAAGCUAGGGGAGCGAAUGGG
rnacentral:rRNA from 1 species